AACGUAGGACGCGAGCGUUAUCCGGAGUUACUGGGCGUAAAGCGCGGGCAGGCGGUCUGACAAGUCUGAUGUGAAAUCUCCGGGCUUAACCGGGAGAGGCCAUUGGAAACUGACAGGCUGGAGGGCAGUAGAGGUAGGCGGAAUUCCGGGUGGAGUGGUGAAAUGCGUAGAUAUCGAGAGGAACACCUGCGGCGAAGGCGGGUUGCUGGGCCGACACUGACGCUGAGGCGCGAAAGCCAGGGGAGCGAACGGG
rnacentral:rRNA from 1 species